AUGGGCAUGCAAGUGGAGAUAGAGCUGGAGUGUGUGUGUGUGUGUGUUUCAGCUGGUCCCGCAGUGAAGCCCUCCGUGUCUCUGCUGCCUCCCUCUUCUCUGCAGAUCUCUGGAGACUCAGCCGCACUGCUCUGUCUGCUCAGCUCUUACUCUCCACAGGGGGCGCAGGUGAGCUGGACGCUGGACGGGUCAGAGGUCACCGAGGGGGUUCAGACCAGCGCAGAGAGCGAGCGGGACGGACGCUACAGCCGCAGCAGCGUCCUGAGCCUCAGCAAAGCACGCUGGGAAGCCGGCGAGCGCUUCGUCUGCAGAGUAACACAUGACGGAGCUGAUCACGAGACCUCGUUCCUCAAGAGCUCCGAGUGCUGAUGUUUCUCCAGUGAAGAGCAGCAGGAUUCACAGCAGUCUCCUGAUUUACAGCUCAAUACUCAAGCAGUCUUUCAAUGUGCUGCCAUUGCUGUUCAUUCAAUAAAGCUUCUGAACGCCUUA